AUACCUUCCUGGGCAGGGGAGGUACCUUGAUCAGAAAGGUAGCUUUAUCAGGACAAGGGUGAUCUAUCACAUUCUGGAUUGCUGACUUCUGAGAUUGUCCUGAAUUUGGGAAACUUAUCUCAUAAUUUGUGGUAGUGGGGCACAAUGUUUGCGCUUUCCUCAG